UGGUCGCUAAUUUUCGAUGAAACUGAUGCCAAACUGAAAUGAUGUGUUUCCAUUCCCAUUCUUUGAUUUGAAUUCCUUCGCCUAAAAACGCCUCCAUCUCUCUUGUUUCCCACGCCGAACAGCCCCCCUGGUCUUGUCUCUCACCAGCUCUUCUCUUCCCCCCCCUCUCUCUCUCUCUCUCUCCCCUUUCGACCUCCUCGAACUGCCUUAUGCUUCCCAGCCCCAGCCAAUCCCAUCACCCAUAGCCCUCGAACCCUGAGGUUUGAAGAGCCAAAAUUUCUUUCUUUUCCUGUUUUUCUGAAAAAAGACAAAGAUGCCAAGACUCUCACAAGGAGGAGCUGCUUGAAGCCAUUGCACAUCUGGAUCGCAAAGCAUAUGCCACUUUCGAAGACCAGCAAACAGUUGGUCAGUUGACAGAAGACUGAGGAGAGACACUAUUUUCAGCAUUGAGAAGGGUAGGAGGGAGUGCUUUCAGUAACAUGGCGGUUGGUUACAACAACAUUGAUGUCAAUGCUGCUAACAAGUAUGUUGUUGCUGUUGGAAACACUCCUGUUUAUUCGAAACCUGCUUAAAGGACAGACUGUUGGGGGUGAUUCGAGUUGGUCACAUUGGAUCUGCUUAUGCCAAAAGGAUGGUUGAAGGAUUCAAGAUGCACCUAAUUUACUAUGAUCUUUACCAGGCCACACGCCUAGAAAAGUUUGUGACAGGCAUGUCAAAGUGAACCAUUGAUGUUAAAAAGUUAUGUGCUUCUUUUUCUCAGAAUGAAAAGAAAAGGAGAGGGAAAACUUGUGCACGAGUUUAUGCUCUUUUUCUCAGAAGUGGUCAAGGAACUGCUCCUUGUGUAUGAGUUUAUGCAGAGGUGAAACUUGGAUCAUCAUCUUUGUAGAAGUAUAACUUUUAGGAGAAAAUCGAGAAAAUAAAAUCACUUGUGCAUGGAUUAUAUGUAAAUGAGAUUUUUUGUUAGUUUUUAGUCUUUUGCCAUGUAUGCAUAUUUAUGCUAUCAAGUGUUUUAUGCUUCCUAAGUUUAGAUGAACAUUUGAUAUACGUGUUUCUUGCCUUCCUCCUUU